CAGCAGCCACGGUAAUACGUAGGUGGCAAGCGUUGUCCGGAAUUAUUGGGCGUAAGGGGCUCGCAGGCGGUUUCUUAAGUCUGAUGUGAAAGCCCCCGGCUCAACCGGGGAGGGUCAUUGGAAACUGGGAAACUUGAGUGCAGAAGAGGAGAGUGGAAUUCCACGUGUAGCGGUGAAAUGCGUAGAGAUGUGGAGGAACACCAGUGGCGAAGGCGACUCUCUGGUCUGUAGCUUACGCUGAGGAGCGAAAGCGUGGGGAGCGAACAGGAUUAGAUACCCCCGUAGUCCCUGUCUCUUAUAA
rnacentral:rRNA from 1 species